rnacentral:tRNA from 1 species
GGAGGACCUGUGGCUUAGUGGAAGAGCAUCUGCCUUGCAUACAGAAGAUUCCAGGUUCAGUGCCCAGCAUCUCCA